UUAUUAACUAUAUCAUUAUCUUUGUGCUUUUGGUCUACUGUCUCCUGAUUGCUUUUAUUUUCGUUAUUAUUGUCACCCAUUUUACUUGAUAAAGCACUUACUUAAUGUUAACAAUAUGGUGAAGUUAUGAAUAAAAGUGGACAAUGGAUAAAUAUUUAAACUCAGAAGUUAAUGGAAUAAUUAACGUAUUAGUAACCACUGACAUAUGAAAUGACAAUCUCAAAUGACUGUAGAGAAAGAAUUGUACGACUAAUUUUUACCACUAAUCACAUCUAUCUGUUUUUAAUAUUAAAUUUAAGAUAACAUUUUAUUGAUUAUAAAAUCUCACGAAUGAUUAAAUGUAUAUUUAAGACAUGUUCAGUAUCUAGGCAAAGAAAUAACUGAUGGAUUAGAUGAUGCUGCGGUAUGAUUUUUGUUAUUUCUUAAUAUAUACGAUGGUGAUAAUAUUAAGGACAUUUAAAUAGCAGUUAGCAAUCGCCUGGGCAAAGUUUAUGAUGACAAAUCAUGAACCUUUUUAAUUAUUCUAUAUCAUCAUAGAUAUAUUAAUCAAAACAUUCAAUAACAAAUAAUCAUUUUUCUGUUUAUAAUUUUUAAUCAAAUGAUUACUCAUUAGUUUUAAUGACUCAGAAUAUCCGUGGGUGUCUUUUUUUUUCUAAUCGAAUCGUUUCACCAGUUAUUUAGAUGUGCGUUGAAUUAACUUGCAUUAUUCAUUACUAUUUUAUAUAAAUCUUAGAAUAAAAAUGAAUGACCCAGACAUUUUACAUGUCAAAAGAUCUGGAGUUCACAAUAAAAUGAUAAAGGUCUUUAAAGUUUUCUAUUUAAUUAAACUAUGCACUUAAAAUAUUAAUUGAUUUUAUUAAAUUUCCACUCUUACAAAAGAUUCCAUUAUUGCAAAAAAUUAAAUAAAAAAUUAUUAUGGUCAGUUGUUUUUAAGUGAGAGUUUCUUGUUAUUUAUUUAAAGAGAAAGUGUUGAAGAAAUUUAUAGCUAAUGAUUUUAUACUUUCCAAUCAUAUUAUAGAUCCAUCACACGUAAUAAU